AACGAACGCUGGCGGCAGGCUUAACACAUGCAAGUCGAGCGCCCUGCAAGGGGAGCGGCAGACGGGUGAGUAACGCGUGGGAACGUACCCUUUGCUACGGAAUAGCUCCGGGAAACUGGAAUUAAUACCGUAUGUGCCCUACGGGGGAAAGAUUUAUCGGCAAAGGAUCGGCCCGCGUUGGAUUAGCUAGUUGGUGGGGUAAUGGCCUACCAAGCCGACGAUCCAUAGCUGGUUUGAGAGGAUGAUCAGCCACACUGGGACUGAGACACGGCCCAGACUCCUACGGGAGGCAGCAGUGGGGAAUCUUAGACAAUGGGCGAAAGCCUGACGCAGCCAUGCCGCGUGGAUGAUGAAGGUCUUAGGAUUGUAAAAUCCUUUCACCGGUGAAGAUAAUGACUGUAGCCGGAGAAGAAGCCCCGGCUAACUUCGUGCCAGCCGCCGCCGUAAGAC
rnacentral:rRNA from 1 species